AAAUAACCUUCUUCACUCAUCCCUCUGGCUUCUCUCAAAACAACAUACAUACAUGUUUCUUUGAAGAAUAGGGUUUUAUUUGGAGGUUCUUUUUCUUCUAUCGACACCACGUUUCCUCUUUCUUUCAUUCCCCGGCGUUCAACAAUCCUCUGCGUUUCCCUCUUCCUCUGUUAGGCAUUUUAAAUUAGGCUAACAUCUUCAGGCCUCCCUUCAUCACUGUGAUGGAUUCAUCGGGCUAUUGGGUUGUACCUUUAUUCUUUGUAGUUGUAGUAUGACGUCUGGUUCCGAUGUCAGUUUGGUUCACCAUCAUCAUCGAUCAAGAAAACGAGCACAUGUCUUUCUCCUCUGAUUUCUAGGCUGCCACCUAAUAGAAAGCACCCAUCAAAUGAAGAUGAUUGGUCAAACAAUAGAUUUUUAGAGAUUGAAAAUUGAUUUUUGGGGGCAUAAGGAAAGUAAGCUUGAAUCUUAAUCAAAUGAGGAUACUUCCAAGAGGUGUUGUGAUUUUUUUAACAAUUUAUAUGCUGAGCUUUUUGUUUCAAGGCCACUACAAAGAUACGCUUUUAGUUCCAUUGAAUCUCAAAUAAGGGUGUUGGGUGAUUUCUGUCUUCUAUCCACUGAAUUACAAAAGAUAUGAGUCUGUAACUCUGUUUGUUUAUUUCCAGAAAUACCCCUCUGUUCCUAAAAACUUGUGCUUAUCUGCAGGAAAUGAUGGGAUUAACUUACUUCAUGUUGAAUCAAUCAAAAAAGAUGCUGAAUAUUGCACAGAAACACCUUCAGUACUUAUUUAGUAUGCCUGGUAGAUCUUUACAUCAGGGAAGGAAAUGCCUCAUGGUGGAUUGAAAUGUUAAAAUCAAGUGGUCAAUUAAUAUAAAGAGGUGCUGAUGUAUACUUUCGUAUCUCUGAUGAGGAACCUCUUCAUUCAGCUGUGAUUAUUGUUGUUACCUUUUAUUUUAGCCAAACGAAUUAUGUUAAGAAAGUAUGGAUUUCAUCUCAUUCUUUCUGGUGGUGAUCUGUACAAGAAAUGGGAUCAGGUCAUUCUAUGAGUAAUGGUGCAAUAAAUCCAAAGGUUCCAAAAGAAUUUUUUUUAGUCCACAAAGAGAGCAAGAGAAACACACUUGCACCUGAUCAUGAAUCAAAUCCAUGGGCAUUUUAUGUUUGGGCAAUUUUAGUAGGAUCUUAUACAAUUCAACAUAUGCAAAGAGGCAGUAUGUUGUCUCAGUUAAAACAUCCGAAUACAUGUCUUUCAAAAACCAAUGGAAGAGUAUUUCUCCGGAACAGGCUAAAAGGUUUACCAAAAUUAGAGAAAGGGAGGGUUUGAUCGAGAAUGAUGUGGUAAGGACUUGACAGCUCAUUGUUGUUCUAUGAGGGUGAUGGUAAUCCAAAUGUAUGCAUUUUGCAUGAUAUAUUGUUGACUUACUCGUGCUACAACUUUGAUCUUGGUUAUUGCCAGGGCUUGAGUGAUUUCUCUCCACUAUCCUUACUCAUCAUGAAAGAUGAAUCACAAGCUUUCUGCUCAUUUCACAACUACUUCAAACAAAACGACUGCUUCUGUUUCUACUGGAUUCUGAUAUAAUUCAAAAAGGCAAGAAAUGAUGGGAUUAACUUACUUCAUGUUGAUUCAAUCAAAUAAAGAUGUUGAAUAUUGCAUGGAAAACACCUUCAGCAGUUAUUUAGUGGACCCUUUCUUAUUUAGCUUUUCUGUUAAUGUUUAAAGGUACAUUAUUGAAUCUCAGAAAAGGGUAUUGGGUGAUUAUGCCUUCAUGUUAUGAAAUUAUGAACUUGCUUUAUCAAAUUGCCACUGAUUACAACCUGACAAAGCAUGGAAACAAUAUGAAUUGAUGUGCUUUUUUAUCAAAAAAAAUGUUGAAUAUCGCAUGAAAACGCCUUCAGAACUUAUUUGGUACACCUGGAAAUGAUGGGAUUAACAUACUUGAUGUUGUUGAAUCAAUCAAAAAAAGAUGUGCUUUUAUUCAGUGAAUUGGGACAUUAGGGAAGGAAAUGUUAAAAUCAAGUGGUCAAUAUAAAGAGAGGGUGUUUGUGUGUACUUUCUUAUCUCUGAUGAGGACCUCUUCAUUCAGCUGUUGUGCUUGAACAAGCAUCUUAUUGUUGUUACCUUUUGUUUUUUUAGCCAAACGAAUUAUGUUAAGAAAGUAUGGAUUUCAUCUCAUUCUUUCUGGUGGUGAUCUGUACAAGAAACGGAGGGGAUCAGGUGUAAGAAUGCAGUGAAGUCUGAGAGAAACACUGUUUAAUGAUGCAAAGUUAAAGGUCUAUCAUUCCCUUCUCUUUACUUGUAUAGUGGAGGAGUCUGGCUUAUCUGUCAUACAUUUAAGGAGCAUAACUAUACCCUAAUCCCCGAAAAGAUUCUCUGAAAAUAUGCUCCUAUUAUGGAUAAAGAAUAAAUGGUCAAGCUUUUUGGAUUAUGAAGGCUUAGUCAUGGAUCCAGAUGCUUUAAAACAGAGAAUAUUCUAUAGGGGCAAAAAAAGGUUUAUGCAUUCUUACACAGAGGCAGUAUGUUGUCUCAGCUAAAACAUUAGAAUACAUGACUAUCAAAAACCAAUUGCAGGGUAUAAAAAGGUUUACAGAAAUUAGAGAAAGGAAGGGUUUGAUUGAGAAAGAUGUGGUAUGAAAAUAACCAUACAUUUCAAAUGUGGUUUUUUUUAUUUAAGUAUUUUAUUUUUGUUUUUAAGGUAAUGAUAUAUUGUUGACUUACUCAUUCUACAACUUUGAUCUUGGUUAUUGCCAGGUAACAUGCCACUAUUAUUAUUUAUAGAGUAAAUUACAAUUUCGUCCUCGUGAUAUUUCAAAACUUAUGGUUUUCAUCUAAGAUAUUUCAUUUGCUGCACAAGGGGUCAAUAAAGUAUAGUUUUGUUGAAAGUUUUCUCUCUAUGGUGGAACUGUUGGUAUUGCAAAAUGUUCGUGAAAUCCAAGUGAAAUAUGACUAUUUUGUCCCUCUCUUCUUUUAUCCUUCAUCCUGUAAACCUAAAAUUCCUCAACUUUAAUCUUAAACUCUAAUCAAACCAAUACCCAAAAAUUAAGCUAAAACUAAAACAAAAUUAAGAUCCAAGGUACCAACAAAUUUAUUAAAAAAAACCAUGAACAGUAAACUAAAAAGAUUGUUAGGUUAGAAUUAUUUUUAUUUUAUACUUUUGGAUCUUGAUUUUUCUUUAAUUUUUGGGUGUUGAUUGAAUUUGGUUUGAUUUUUAUGAUUUAAGAUGAAGGAGAUUUAGAAGAUGAAGAUAAGGGCAAAAAAAAGUCAUUUUACUUUAUCUAAUUAGUCAUUUUACUUUGUGUUUUUUAUUUAUUUAUUAUACACACAAUAUUUUGCUAAUAAUUGAAAUAAAGAAUUUUUAUCUCACAGAGCAUGAGUGAUCUCUCUCUCUCUCUCUCUCUCUCUCUCCAUUAUUAUUCAUCUUGAAAAAUAAUUCAUAAGCUUUCAGGUGUUUUAUUGGAAUGAUUAGGUCCAAAUUUCAACCGUGAUCAAAAAGCCAUGCACUCUCAACUAUUUCUUUGCGCUAUCAAAUGUCCUCCCUCUAUCUCAAUAUAUAACAAGGGUAUUUUGGUCUUUUAAUAAAGAGGGAGGAAUGAAUCAAAACUGGCAUUCCUUCCGCCUGCCCCUAUAAAUAAAUGGUUCAAGUCCAUCAAUAUAUGAAAUACCAAGGAAUUUGACAAAGUUGCAUUCCGUCCGAAUUUUCAACCAAAGGCACCAUUCAAUGGAAUCUCGAAUUCCAAUCCCACCGGUAUCCACAAUUCCAGUUCCUAGCUGUGAUUAUCAAACAUGGAAUUUCAAGAAAUCCAACAGAAGUGUAUUCCAUCCAAACUGUCAACCAAACACGUCAAGAAAUGGAAUCUCGAAUUCCAACUCUGCCGGAAUCCGCGAUUCCGUUUCUUAGCAUGUCUAUUAUUGUUUUGAUAGGGCAGCUGGUGGAACUAUUCAACAGCCCAUUACACAACUACUUCAGACAAAACAACUGCUUUCUGUUUCUGUUGGAUUCUGAUCCAACUCAAAAGGCAAGUAAAUUUACUCCUCUACCCUUGCUAAUUAAAAAGUAUCACAUGGUUUCAGGGUAUUUGAAUACGAUAAAACAUUAAGGUUAUGGGAGGUGUUACGGACAAGGUUUGCCACAUGAAUAAGGAAAGUCAAAGAUGGAAUUCUAAUGUUUGUCCAACAGUGACAAGGAAAAUGAAUCGCUUUGGAAAGAAUAUGAGAUUUUUCAUAGUCAAGGAAAUGUGUUUGAAGCUAGAUGAGGAUGUGAAAAUUACAUGGUGGACUUAGAUGCUACGGCCUGAUCAUCAUACUUCCACUUGCUCUUUUGUUACCAUUUAGGAUGCCUUUUUUGUGAAUUGUUUAGGCAUUUUAGUACAAAUGGAUGGGUGUUCUGUAGAGACCUUGCAGCGGUUGGGAAUCUGUUGUCACAAGCGGGAUUUAACCGUCCAAUUCCGGUAAAAUAUGAAGGUUUAAGCUGUUAGGAUUUAAUUAAAAGAAGCAUAAACAAAUAAUCAAAAACCGGUUAAUGUAUAAAUUGUGGUUGUGGGAA